GAUAUCGAUGAGUGUAACACCAUGUGUGAUAGUACAUUGGCACAAUGCAACAACACUUUGGGAAGUUAUUCGUGCACUUGCAAUCCUGGAUACACUGCUGAUGGGACUACCUGUAGAGGCACAUCUACGCUUGAAGAAAUCACUUUAGCCCCAGUUUUGAACCAAUCCGCAACAAGCACGUUAGCCCCAACUUUGAACCAAUCCGCAACAAGCAUGUUAGCCCCAACUUUGAACCAAUCCGCAACAAGCACGUUGAACCAAUCCGCAACAAGCACGUUAGCCCCAGAUUUGAACCAAUCCGCAACAAGCACGUUGAACCAAUCCGCAACAAGCAUGUUAGCCCUAGCUUUGAACCAAUCCGCAACAAGCACUGUAGCCCUAUUAUCAGAUGGUGGUGCGGACCCAACGUCAUCUGUGCCUGAUAUUGGGGAAACCCCCGCCCAAUCCGGCUCAGUUAUGAGUACUGGGAGCACGACAACUUUCAACAGCACAUUGGAUAUUCCUAAUACAAAGUCAAGCUUAACCGGUGGUCAAGUGGCAGGCCUAGUCAUAGGCACCUUGCUGCUGGUCGCAUUGAUUGGAGGCAUUGUGUUCACUCUUGUGAAGAAACAGUCUCCUGGAUCUGGGAAACAUAUUUCUAUGACAGAGAUGAAUGCUUAAUGACUCCAACUGGAGUGAGAACAGUGGGAAGGUUUUCAACAAGCCUUGGCAAGUGGAAAAAGCUGACGGCCAGUUCCAGUCAUUGUUAGCAUUCCUGUAGUGUUACACCACGCAUACACAUGCAUGCAUAUGUCAACACACCUAUAUACAAUUAUUAUGCAUGACUGUAAGAGGUAAUAAUCAGUAUGCAUUUCACACGAUAUUUUUUGAUUUUUCAUUGCUAUUGGAGUGAGCAUUCUGACAACACAUAGUGCCUAUCGUAAAUGCAUUUCCACUAAUAUCUGUGAAGGAGUUUUUUCGCUGUGCACUGUUACAUUUUGCCUCCAAGUUUAUUUGUUAUCACAAAUCUAUACUGUCGUUGAUAAAGGUUGCUGCACUCAGCUAGACCAGUUGGUUUUCCAUUGAGCGAAGAGAGCAUUCUUACAACACAUAGUGCCUAUCGUAGAUGUAUUUCCCCUGAAAUCUGUGAAGAAGUAUAUCCUCUGUGCACUGUUACAUUUUGCCUCCAAGUACGUUAGUUUGUCAUGAGGAAUCUGUACUUUUGUUGAUAAAAUAAUGUCGCUGCACUCAGCUAGAACAGUUGAUUUCUAAUAAUUGAUAUUGGAGUGCGCAUUCUUACAACACAUACUAAGUAGUGCCUAUAGUAGAUGCAUUUCUACUGAUAUCUGUGAAGGAGUAUUUUCGCCAUGCAUUAUUGCAUUUUACCUCCAAUUAAUUUGUGGUCACAAAUCUGUACUUCCGUUGAUUAAUGUCGCUGCACUCAGCUUGAACGCAGUUGGUUGUCCAUUGAUCGGAGAGAGCAUUCUUACAGCACAUAGUGCCUAUCAUAGAUGUAUUUCCACUGAAAUCUGUG